UACGUAGGGUGCAAGCGUUGUCCGGAAUUAUUGGGCGUAAAGAGCUCGUAGGCGGUCUGUCGCGUCGGCUGUGAAAACUCGGGGCUCAACUCCGAGCUUGCAGUGGAUACGGGGCAGACUAGAGGCAGGUAGGGGAGAAUGGAAAUUCCCGGUGUGAGGCGGUGAAAUGCGCAGAUAUCGGGAGGAACACCGGUGGCGAAGGCGGUUCUCUGGGCCUGACCUGACGCUGAGGAGCGAAAGCGUGGGGAGCGAACAGG
rnacentral:rRNA from 1 species